AAAUGCCAAAGGAGGCAGGUGAACAGGGCUGCUUGGCGGUGACAGCCAGGUCGUGCCUUAGCCUCUCCUUCACAGAAACGUGUGUCAGAGCAACCAUUCAUCCAUCGCUCAGGGUCUGCCUGUCAGUCCCGGCAAAGUGGUGCCCCAUGGGAGGAGGAACCAGGAAUGCAACGAAACGCAACGGAACCCUCCAAAACUAAGAGUAAGAAAAUGAAGGACAUAAGUCAGUUUCCAAUUGUAGUUUUAUUAACCAAAACUUUGCUGGAAUGUCAUGUCUGAAAGAGACAUGCCAGGACUCUGGAUGUCACCAGGAUGCUCUAAGGAAUGAAGACUGACUGAAGCCGAUAAGCCCCUUGGAUAAAAAGCCUGGUACCUUGCUUGGUCAUGUGGUUCAUGGCAAUCUUUCCAGUCUACAAAAUCAGAACUCGAGCAGGGAACACACUUCACAGACCCCGACCUUCCAAAGCAGAAAGUUCACCGCCUCCCUCUGUCUUCUGCAGCCAGCAAAACAAAAAGGGGGAAGAUGUGGGGAAGC